GGCAACGAGCAAGACCCACGCCAACAGUUGCCAGCAUGGUCUCCGGACUGAUGGGGACACUGUUGGGACCGCCUCUGCUAAAGAGGAGGAAGGAAUGGGCAACGGUAGGUCAGCAUGCCCCGAAUUAUCCGGGCUACACGCGGGCUACAAUGGGCAGGACAAUGGGCAUCGACACCGAAAGGUGAAGGCAAUCUCCUAAACCUGUCCUUAGUUCGGAUUGUGGGCUGCAACUCGCCCACAUGAAGCUGGAAUCUGUAGUAAUCGCGUUUCAAAAUAACGCGGUGAAUUUGUCCCUGCUCCUUGCACACACCGCCCGUCAAACCACCCGAGUGGGGUUUGGAUGAG
rnacentral:rRNA from 1 species